GAGAAUAGAGUUCAUUAACCAAUGAAAAUGUUCGGCCCGACUGGGCUGGCAAUUCUCCUAGAAUUCACAAUUCUUAUUUGUUCGGCGAGUGGGGGAACUUUGUGGCGUGCGUCUUCUGAUCCCAAUAAGGCCUGCCCUGUAGGCUCUCGAUGAUGGGAAUCACAGAACAUGAUGAAGGAAUGAAUUAAUGUCACCAAACAACUGAAAGUCCUGAAAAUUGUAUGAUGGUCCCUAAAUCAGCAGUUCUUCAGUUUUGAUUUGCGUCCCACAGUAUUAGUUUCAGAAGAAUUUGGAUUUUAUUUUAUUUAUUGUUCUGUGGGACCAAAUUAAGGAGAAGUCUCCA